GAAGAAAUGCAAAUCAUAAAGGCAUUCUCUUUGUUGUUUAAAAUUUCAUCUAGGAAAACAAUAUGAUUGCAAUAAUGUAUUUUGAAGAUGCUAUCCAAAGAAACUUCAGGUUUGAUCCAAUGCGAAUUAUGCCAAGACCACAUGGAUGAUUCCCCUUGUACUCUCUGGUUAGAGGCAUUGGAAAUACCAUCAAGUCUUCAAGCCCAACUUUCCCUCAAUUGCUUCCACAACAAUUUUAUGCUUCAAAAGGAGGACGACUUUAUACAGUACAAAUGGGAAGACAGAAUGGAUGUUGGCAAUUUAUUUCCUCACCUGUACUGAAAAAAAGGAGAGAGCAAGAAAAUGCGUGCUAGUCUCUCUUUUUAAAACGCCACAGCAGACAUACUGGCCAUUGCUGGGAACCCAUCGAUGAAAGACAGUGACUAAAACCACCUGAUUAUUGCAAUCCACCAUGUGUCUGAAAGCCACAUUUCACUGACAUCAUCAGACUGGAGCUAGACUCUGUGACUUGGGCAGGUGAAUUUUGACAAGCUUUUCAAUGAGGUAUGGAUGAACUGUACUAGUUUGUUAAGAACACAUUAUAAACCUAUGAUGGAAUCUCUCAGAAGUUCAAGUGUGGUGACUGCUUCCAUAUAAAACAACUGGAUUCUUUUAAAGAAAUGAUUCUCACUAUAGCCUCUUACUCAUUUACUUAACAGACCUAGUUAUAUGCCAGUCUUUUAAAUUAUUGGCUUUAGAGAACACACAGUGGUCAUUGCGCAUAGUUCUUUUUGUGAGAUAAAAGAGAUGACUGAAAAAAAGGUAGCAUUUACAGGCCUUUAAUAACAUUAAACAGGAAGCAAACUUGACAUAGAUAGACAGCUUAGUGGAUGAACACCUUUAGAGAAGGCAGGAAGGACCUAUGUCAGAUCUCUAGCACCUAUAUGAACAACUGGGUAUGGAGGAAUGCUCCUGCUGGCCCCAUAUUGGAGGGCAGAGACAGUUAGAAUCUAAGGACUUGCCAGCCAGCCAGCUUAGUUUAAUUGAUAAGUUCAGGUUCAGUGAGAGAUCCUGUUUCAAAAAAUAAAAUAGAGUAGUGAUUGAGGGAGACA
rnacentral:lncRNA from 1 species